GGGCGAUCAUAAGGGAGCUGACUGCAAAUCUGCCGUCAUCGACUUCAAGGUUCGACUCGAGCAAUAGUGAGAGAACGUUGCCGCAGGCAACGGUCCGAAGGGUGAGGAGCUUUAGCUCCGAAUAAUCCUUCCCGCUAUAGAA
rnacentral:sRNA from 1 species